rnacentral:lncRNA from 1 species
GCAGAGCUUCGCCAACCUUGCAUGUACAUGUCCUUUCUUCUUAGAGACCCAUGAUUUGUAGCCCAGGUCAAAAAUAAAACUCCAUAGACAUUAACUCAGCCCUAAGGAGACCUGGGUAGGUGCCCUGGGUACCAACGCUAAAGUUCCUUUACUCUUCCACUCCCUAGAGUUGCAAUUUUCUGGUGUAAAUAUCAUCAUUGUUAUUUAUGUUGGCCAUCGCCACUGAGCAGGUCUAAUUCCAAUAUGCCCUGUGAGCAAGACCAUGUGGAUUAUAUACUGGAAAUAUGCUUAUAUAAAGCAUUGAUCUAUAUGGAAAACAUUUACAUUGGUUUUAAAUGUACUGUUUGUUAGGGGGAAACCAACUCUAAGCAGUACCCAAACUGCUGAAUGGAAACUAAAAUAUCACGACAACCUAGGGCUAAAUGAAGUAAUAUAUAAAAAUAUUAGUCUGAUAUUUAAUUUUUUAAAUGAUAAAACAUAUUUCUCCUUCACACAGCUUUAAUUCACAAAGACAUAGACGAUGUCACCUCAGUAAUCCCAUAACCACUCAGCUGUAACUCUUCACACCUAAAUGUCCUUCCCAGGGAAGUCAGGUGUUGCCUGCGAGUGCUGGUGACCACUUUAUGUGAUACUUGCAGUUACCAUGCAAAGCACUCAGGCUUGAAGCCAUGUGAAUUUAUCCAAUUUCAGGUUUCAUUAAAACUUAAAGGUCAACUUAGGUUCUAUAAAAGUCACAGCUAUUUACAAAGAGGCCAU